GGCCUCGUAGCUCAGCAGGUAGAGCGUGCGCUGUACAGACGCGUGGGGGCAUCCAUGAGUGGGUUCAAGUCCAACCGAGGUUA
rnacentral:tRNA from 1 species